UGCGUAGAUAAACAAAAAUCAGCUUCGGACUGAUGCGCGAAUGAUGAAGGACCGAUAUCAGACUGCUGUGGCUGCAUUGACUGUCGGAACUGUUCAGAGUAUGAUACAUCUUGGGAAGUCUGUAACUCAAUACCAUCAAAUCAUUUGUGUUGAGGUAUGAUAUCAUCUAAUAUUCACAAAUAAAAAUAAAAAUCAAUAAAUAUAAAUUAUCAA
rnacentral:lncRNA from 1 species